UUCUAGAUUCAUCCUGGCACCACCAUGUCGAAGGUUUCCUUUAAGAUCACGCUGACGUCGGACCCACGGCUGCCGUACAAAGUACUCAGUGUUCCUGAAAGUACACCUUUCACAGCAGUCUUAAAGUUUGCAGCAGAAGAAUUUAAAGUUCCUGCUGCAACAAGUGCAAUUAUUACCAAUGAUGGAAUAGGAAUAAAUCCUGCACAGACUGCUGGAAAUGUUUUUCUAAAACAUGGUUCAGAACUGCGGAUUAUUCCUAGAGAUUGCGUUGGAAGUUGUUAAUAUCUGCUACUUGGAACAUAAGAUUACCUUUCAG